rnacentral:rRNA from 1 species
UGGGGAAUUUUGCACAAUGGGGGAAACCCUGAUGCAGCGACGCCGCGUGAUUUAGAAGGCCUUCGGGUUGUAAAAAUCUUUUCUAUGGGAAGAAAAUGACAGUACCAUAGGAAUAAGGACCGGCUAAUUACGUGCCAGCAGCCGCGGUAAUACGUAAGGUCCGAGCGUUGUCCGGAAUCAUUGGGCGUAAAGGGUACGUAGGCGGGUAAGCAAGUUAGAAGUGAAAUCCUAUAGCUCAACUAUAGUAAGCUUUUAAAACUGCUCAUCUUGAGGUAUGGAAGGGAAAGUGGAAUUCCUAGUGUAGCGGUGAAAUGCGCAGAUAUUAGGAGGAAUACCGGUGGCGAAGGCGACUUUCUGGCCAUAACCUGACGCUGAGGUAAGAAAGCGUGGGUAGCAAACAGG